UUUUAUUUAUUUUUUUUUUUCACUAUUACGUCCAUUUUCCCAUCAGGAGGGCCAAAAUGAGAGGGGGCUGCUCCCUCCUCCAAGGAGAAGGCAAAGAUUUCCCCGCCUCGCUCCAAGAGACUUCGCCGUCUCCUCCUCCUCCUCGCCCUCUUCUCCCUUAUCCCUCCGCAUUUUUUUUUCCCUCCCGCCUCAGCCGGUUCCACCAGGUCUUUUCGCUUCUCGAAACGGAAGCCUACCGGAUUGAUCUUGAUUCUCGUGUAAAUUUUGUGGAGAUUUAUGUCUCUCCUUCUUCGCAUGAAGUGUUGUUUGCGCUCCAGGGCAGUUGAUUUUCCUCCGGCCGUGGGGCUAGUUGCUGGAAAGAUCAUCACAACUGUAUUCUCAUUUGAGAAUGUUGGCAGGACAAGAAAGUUGGCUUCUAAAAUCAUCUUAUCCGGGCAAAAUUUGACAUUGUUGGAAGGGUUGUAAUCAAGCUUUCACAAGAUGUCAUGGUAGAUGGGAAGAGUGUGAUUUGCUGCACUGCCUUUAGCUGGAAGAUCUGUAGGAGUGGAAAUAUAUCUUUUCAGCCAAACCUAGACAAAGACUGCCAAUUGCUGGCAAUGACAAACUUCACCUACUUCUCCUGUAGUAGUGGACCAGUGGACCUUGAUGCUCUGUGUUGGAAUGUACUGAAUGGACCAAGUUAGAUAUCAUACCAUGCUCUCCUAUGUCCUGGCCAUGCCACCUAUCUCAUGGGUUCAUCCUUUGGGUUAGGGGGUGGGGGCCCCUUAGACCAUGAUUUGCCUUCGAUGUUAAGAAAUACCAAGCUUGGGCCACUGAGAUCCAGCUAAUCUGAUGUUUUAUCUUAUAUGCUUUGGCUUUUGUUGGAAACAUGUACUAAAAUGCAGCCUAUAUUGUGUUUUCCACCA